rnacentral:tRNA from 1 species
UUCCCUGUGGCUCAGUUGGUAGAGCAUGGUGUUUGCAACGCCAGCAUGGUGUGUGCAAUGCCAGGGUUGUGGGCUCGAUUCCCACGGGGGAAU